rnacentral:rRNA from 1 species
ACUCCUACGGGAGGCAGCAGUGAGGAAUAUUGCGCAAUGGGCGAAAGCCUGACGCAGCGACGCCGCGUGGAGGAUGAAGGUUUUCGGAUCGUAAACUCCUGUUAAGUGGGAAGAAAGAUUUGUUUUAAUAGAGACAAAGGAUGACUGUACCAUUAGAGAAAGCACCGGCUAACUUCGUGCCAGCAGCCGCGGUAAUACGAGGGGUGCAAGCGUUAUUCGGAAUCAUUGGGCGUAAAGGGUGCGUAGACGGUUUGUUAAAGUCAACUGUUAAAUUCUCCGGCCUAACUGGAGCUCAGCAGUAGAAACUGGCAGACUUGAGGUUGGAAGAGAGAAGUGGAAUUCUCGGAGUAGCGGUAAAAUGCGUAGAUCUCGAGAGGAACACCAAUGGCGAAGGCAGCUUCUUGGUCCAAAUCUGACGUUGAGGCACGAAAGCGUGGGGAGCAAACAGGAUUAGAUACCCUGGUAGGCUCUGCU